UUGACCUCAAAUCAGGUAGGACUACCCGCUGAACUUAAGCAUAUCAAUAAGCGGAGGACUGGAAGUAAAAGUCGUAACAAGGCAUAUCAAUAAGCGGA
rnacentral:rRNA from 1 species